rnacentral:lncRNA from 1 species
CGCUAAUUUUACCAAACACUACAAAUUCAAUCAGCUAGUUUAUUUGCUAUAAGCAAAAAGCUAGCUUAUAAGCUAUCCGCUAUUUUUACCAAACAGAUCAGUCCUCGACUUUGUAUGUGGUUAAAUAUAGGGACCAACUUGACAAUUAAAUAGAGUCGAGGACCAUUUUGAAAUAUUCAUAAAAGUCGUGCAUCUAUUUGAGAGUGUUUAGCAUUGUUUAUAGCAGUC